UCCUUGUUGGUCCAGCGGUUAGGAUUCUUGAUUUUCACUCAGGCGGCCGGGGUUCGACUCCCCGACAGGGAG